AGCGAACGCUGGCGGCAGGCCUAACACAUGCAAGUCGAACGAAGUCUUCGGACUUAGUGGCGGACGGGUGAGUAACACGUGUGAACGUACCUUUCGGUUCGGAACAACUCAGGGAAACUUGAGCUAAUACCGGAUGAGCCCUUAGGGGGAAAGAUUUAUCGCCGAAAGAGCGGCCCGCGUUAGAUUAGCUAGUUGGUGAGGUAAAGGCUCACCAAGGCUACGAUCUAUAGCUGGCCUGAGAGGAUGAUCAGCCACACUGGGACUGAGACACGGCCCAGACUCCUACGGUAGGCAGCAGUGGGGAAGCUUGCGCAAUGGGCGAAAGCCUGACGCAGCCAUGCCGCGUGAAUGAUGAAGGUCUUAGGAUUGUAAAAUUCUUUUACCAGGGACGAUAAUGACGGUACCUGGAGAAAAAGCCCCGGCUAACUUCGUGCCAGCCGCCGCAGUAACAC
rnacentral:rRNA from 1 species